rnacentral:lncRNA from 1 species
GUUUAAUAUUGCAUUACUCAUAACACAAAAAAUUAUAAUUUCCUUGAAAAUGUGUUUGUUAAAGGUGCUUUUCCUCUACCUCUUGGAACAGUGGGAUUGAGAAAUGUUGGGAAUUUAGCCAUAUAUAUUUAAUCACCCCAAAAUUCUAACCGUGCCACUUGACAAGCCGUUCUAUUAAAGAAUGCAGUGAGUGUUUAAGGAAAAUAACCUGAAAUUUGGACACAGUUUAGUAAUGGUCUGAAGCCCAACUAGGCGUAGAGGCUAAUAUUAAUUGCUACACAAGCAUAGAGAAUUGUCCUUUGUGAUGGAUUUGAGUGAGAAAUUACCCUUGUCCCAACCUGGGAAUUGCUGUUUGCCUUUCACUCCCUGACAACUAGAAGAUGUGCCAGUUUAGUCCUAAUCCCUCAUUUCUGUCUCAUCCUUCAGGGCCCAGCGUCACAUCCAGCUCUGAUCAUGAACAAAUACACUUUGACUUGGACAUGACCUGAUAUUCAAACUAGCAGUAGAUGGAAAAGAAGACAAACAGUUUUUUCAUGAGUUUCAAACACACCUUAAGCAGCUCCGGGACCUUCCAUCAAGAUAACUUGAUAAACCUUGUACGUUUACCUACCUUGACAGUUGUUCAGAUGUCAUGCUAUUUUGGUUUUAGAUUAUUUAAACUAAUGCCUGCUGUCCCACAAGAUACAGGUGAUUGCAAAGGCAGAAAGGUCACCUAAUGAAGCCUGAACUGACCUAGGAAUAUGGGCUUGGCUCCAUUCCCUGCAGUAAAACUUCAGUGCAGAAGAUCAAAUGUGAGAUUCACCUACCUCUGAGCACAGACGUGUUCCAGGACAAAGUUUGGCAUGCAGGCCCUUCUACUCAGGCAGAACAGUACACGACAAAUGUAUCACUGCACAGUGACAGCAGCAUGCCACAAGAUGCAGGAGACAUUGUGCUCACAGACUCUCGUCCUGG